rnacentral:other from 1 species
UUCCACCGCCGCACAGGCGGCUUAGAAA